GACGAACGCUGGCGGCGUGCUUAACACAUGCAAGUCGAACGGAAAGGCCCUGCAUUUGUGGGGUGCUUGAGAGGCGAACGGGUGAGUAAAACGUGAGUAAAAUGCCCUUGACUUUGGGAUAAAUUCAGGGAAAUGGGGCUUAUAGCGGAUAGGAGCUUUUGAUGCACGGUGUGGGUAGGAAAGUUUCGGCGGUUGGGGAUGGAAUCGCAGCUUAUGAGCUUGUUGGUGGUGUAGUGGUUUACCAAGGCUUUGACGGGUAGACGGCCUGAGAGGGUGACCAGCCACAUUGGGACUUAAAGACGUCCGGGACGCCUACUGAACGCAGCAGUCGGGAGCAUAGCACAAUGGGCGGAAGCCAAAUACAGCAACGUUGCGUGCGUGAUAACAGGCUUCGGGUUGAAAACCGCUUUCACCUUUAACGAAGCGUGAGUGACGGUAAUGACUAAAGAAGCACCGGCUAACUACGUG
rnacentral:rRNA from 1 species